GACGAACGCUGGCGGCGUGCUUAACACAUGCAAGUCGAACGGAAAGGCCCUGCUUUUGUGGGGUGCUCGAGUGGCGAACGGGUGAGUAACACGUGAGUAACCUGCCCUUGACUUUGGGAUAACUUCAGGAAACUGGGGCUAAUACCGGAUAGGAGCUCCUGCUGCAUGGUGGGGGUUGGAAAGUUUCGGCGGUUGGGGAUGGACUCGCGGCUUAUCAGCUUGUUGGUGGGGUAGUGGCUUACCAAGGCUUUGACGGGUAGCCGGCCUGAGAGGGUGACCGGCCACAUGGGGACGGGGAUACGGCCCAGACUCCUACGGGAGGCAGCAGUGGGGAAUAGUGCACAAUGGGCGGAAGCCUGAUGCAGCAACGCCGCGUGCGGGAUGACGGCCUUCGGGUUGGAAACCGCUUUCGCCUGUGACGAAGCGUGAGUGACGGUAAUGGGUAAAGAAGCACCGGCUAACUACGU
rnacentral:rRNA from 1 species